GAGAAAGGCAGGUAGCAUCCAUUCAACUCUGUGCUGGAUUCUGCCCUAGGCCUUUCUGACUGACUCUUCCAAGCUGCUUGGGGUUGAUUCCAAGCUUCUGGCAAGUUUCUCUGGAGCAUUUUAUUUUUCCUUGGGUGUGUGAAUGGAAGUGUUUUGUAUUUAACAUCACUAUAUUGUUUCCCAUCAGAUGUUCUAAUGUUAAUAAAUCCACAUCCACUGCAUCCCA
rnacentral:lncRNA from 1 species